rnacentral:piRNA from 1 species
UCCAGAGAUUUUUAAUGGCUGGUGGGCCCU